rnacentral:rRNA from 1 species
UACGGAGGGGGCUAGCGUUGUUCGGAAUGACUGGGCGUAAAGCGCGCGUAGGCGGAUCAGGAAGUUGGGGGUGAAAUCCCGGGGCUCAACCUCGGAAUGGCCUUCAAGACUCCUGGUCUUGAGUUCGAGAGAGGUGAGUGGAAUUCCGAGUGUAGAGGUGAAAUUCGUAGAUAUUCGGAGGAACACCAGUGGCGAAGGCGGCUCACUGGCUCGACACUGACGCUGAGGUGCGAAAGCGUGGGGAGCAAACAGG